GACGAACGCUGGCGGCGUGCUUAACGCAUGCAAGUCGAACGGUAAGGCCCCAGCUUGCUGGGGUACACGAGUGGCGAACGGGUGAGUAACACGUGGGUGACCUGCCCCGCACUUCGGGAUAAGCCUGGGAAACUGGGUCUAAUACCGGAUAGGACCGCACCGUGAGGGUGUGGUGGAAAGUUUUUCGGUGUGGGAUGGGCCCGCGGCCUAUCAGCUUGUUGGUGGGGUAAUGGCCUACCAAGGCGGCGACGGGUAGCCGGCCUGAGAGGGUGGACGGCCACAUUGGGACUGAGACACGGCCCAGACUCCUACGGGAGGCAGCAGUGGGGAAUAUUGCACAAUGGGCGGAAGCCUGAUGCAGCGACGCCGCGUGGGGGAUGACGGCCUUCGGGUUGUAAACUCCUUUCACCAUCGACGAAGGUUUUCUGACGGUAGAUGGAGAAGAAGCACCGGCUAACUACGUG
rnacentral:rRNA from 1 species